AACCAUAGAAACCUGCGGAGUACCUGCGGAAGGAUCAUUACAGAGUUGCAAAACUCCCUAAACCAUUGUGAACGUUACCUAAACCGUUGCUUCGGCGGGCGGCCCGGGUCCUUCCCGGCGCCCCUCGGCCCUCGCGGGCGCCCGCCGGAGGUAAACCAAACUAUUGCAUUUGUAUGGCCUCUCUGAGUCUUCUGUACUGAAUAAGUCAAAACUUUCAACAACGGAUCUCAGAUCGGAAGA
rnacentral:misc_RNA from 1 species